CAUUGGGUACCUACGAAGAAGUCCCGGCAAACUCCGUGCCAGCAGCCGCGGUAAUACGGAGGGGGCAAGCGUUGUUCGGAAUUAUUGGGCGUAAAGGGCAUGUAGGCGGUUUGGUAAGUUAAAGGUGAAAUACCAGGGCUUAACCCUGGGGCUGCUUUUAAUACUGCCAGACUAGAGUCCGGGAGAGGAUAGCGGAAUUCCUAGUGUAGAGGUGAAAUUCGUAGAUAUUAGGAGGAACACCAGUGGCGAAGGCGGCUAUCUGGUCCGGUACUGACGCUGAGGUGCGAAAGCGUGGGGAGCAAACAGGAUUAGA
rnacentral:rRNA from 1 species